ACAGACAACAUUACCGUUGUAUACGUUAGGAACACAGGGAGCAGCAGAGCAACCAAGACACUGCUCUGCUGAAUGUAAGCUCUGACCUGGGGACUUUAACAAUUCUGGGCUGCCUAUGAAUUUGCAACUAAUAUUUCCUCAUGUCCAGACUCUCAGUUCUGACCAUUGGGCCUCAAGCCGAAAACGAUAUCAAAGAAAGAAGAAUCAAAGGACAGACUCAUGGAGAGCUCAAUCCACUCAGCAGAUUCAGAAUGCGACUGCAGACUACAGAGAGAUCCUUUCCAACCCCAUGCUCACACCUCUUCAUGGUACUUUGGAAGUAGUGAUGAAGCAGGAAGUAAGCCUCUCCUGUCACUUGGACUCUGGAUCUCCUCCUGUCAGAUAUACACUAUUUAAAAACCGUCAGAAGCUAUCUGCUUUAAAUAGGACAGACUUGACUCCAGUUUUGUUUAACUUAACUAUCAAUUCUGCCAGUGAUGUGGGUGAAUACAAGUGCAAAGCUCAGAAUGAAAUCUCCAACAGUGAAAAAUACAGCAGAAGUCUCAACUUUACACUUAAAGAGCCAGUUUCCAAACCAGUGCUGAGCUCACCCAAUUCUCAAGCAAAGAAAGGCCAAAACGUGACCUUGUCUUGUCUCUCGGAGAAUGGCUCUCUCCCUAUCACAUACACAUUCUUCAAAGACAGACAAAGCAUCCAACCCCCGGUGAAGAUGCAGAACAGGGAAGCAGCAGUGAUUUCUGUACUUAUCAAAUCCUCCAAUGACUUUGGAAUGUAUAAAUGCAAAGCUGAAAACUGCUUUCACAAUAAGACAAAAUACAGCAACGGUUUCAAUUUCACAUUAGCAGAGGAGAGAAGCAAUUCUCAACCCCUUAUCAUUUGCCUUGGACUGACCUUGCUACUGUUAGCAAUAGGAUUUGCUCUGGCAAUUCCAUUCUUCAUAAUUCCUUUAUAUAAAGCAAAAAAAUUUACACCUACUAGGUCCUCAACUGGCCAUACUUCAAAAGAGAAAGUAGAAGAGUCAGAAGACUACGUCACAUACGCAGAGAUUGAGCCAAUUCAACCAGAAGCAUGCGUGAACCUCUCUGUUAUUAGAAGAGAUGAACAAGAGAACAGAGCAUGUGCUACCAUCUAUUCAGAGGUCCUGGUCGGAGAAGGAGCACAAGCUGGACCACUCCAUUCUCCAGAGUAGAAUCACUUAUCAAGAUCAUGAAGAGAACACCCAUCUCAUCAUACCUGCAAUGAAAAGAUCACAUCCAUUACUGCUUUUGAUGUAUGAAAUUUUAGAUAAGGAAAAUGCCUCACUGCUAUCUGUAAUCCAGCUUUUCUGCUCUUCUCAGAAACCCCCGAACUCUGCUGGAAGAGACAGUUUCCGCCAGCAUUUUCUCUCCCUCUCAAAGCAACUGCAUUCCAAUUCCCCUCAAUUACACUACUUACAUGGCAAAAGCUUACUACUCGUGGGAGAGAAGGUAUGAAAGAAAAAGUGAUCUCUGAAUGAGAGAAAAAAUGUUUAUGUGGGUAAAAAGGACUACAGAAGUAGUCCCAUGUGCCCAGUCUAUUGCUCGUAGUGAAAACUGUUCUGCCUGCACCCCUUGGGGAAGGGAACAAGGGACAGAGACAUGGAAGAAAGGUGACUGAAUUUAUCACCUUCUCUAUGGAUUAUUAGGUUUGCACUCAACACAGCACUCUCAAACAACAAAAGCACUUUGCUGCUUGCUUUCACAGACACAAUGAUCUCUGCUGACCUACGAUGUGAUUUUUGCCAUUCAGGCCCCAUACUUAAGCACAUCCCUUCCCUCCAUCACCCAUUCUCCCUUUCACUAGUUACCUUUCUCUGUGAAUUUUUCUUUGUUGUCAGUGGAUUCUCAGCCAGCUGGAGAGAAUCAAAGAGAUAAGCUAAUGCUCCUUGGUCCAGAUUUCCACUCACAGACAGAACAUGAGGAAUAACACUCUUCCUUCCAUCUCGGCCCUGAUGAGGAAAAAAUAAAUAAAUCAUAAAAGCCACCAACCAACCAUGAUGGGGUGGAUACCUGCAAGACUGCUUCAGAGGGUCUUUUUUUUUAUUUUACAUGUAUAAAGAGGCACUGAGCUCAAGUAUCCUUAUAUUCAGACAUAUCUUACAAUCAGCUGCAUUUUAAAGUUACUGGCAACCUUAACAUGUAACAGUAACUCAAUUAGUUUGUAACAAAGAGAAGAACAGUACUGCUCACUGCUAAUUUCCAAGAAAUAGCUUCAUGCAUAAACAAUGUAGCAUCAUUAUUCUGUCUUCUUCUGAAAAUAACACCUGCCAAUGAAGGUCCGAUAGCAGCAUAUCAAUUUCACCAUAAAAGAAAAAUGGUCACACAAUAAACAAUUGGAUCAGCAAAUAAAA